GACGAACGCUGGCGGCGUGCCUAAUACAUGCAAGUAGAACGCUGAAGGAGGAGCUUGCUUCUCUGGAUGAGUUGCGAACGGGUGAGUAACGCGUAGGUAACCUGCCUGGUAGCGGGGGAUAACUAUUGGAAACGAUAGCUAAUACCGCAUAAUAGUAGAUGUUGCAUGACAUUUGCUUAAAAGGUGCAAUUGCAUCACUACCAGAUGGGCCUGCGUUGUAUUAGCUAGUUGGGGGGGUAACGGCUCACCAAGGCGACGAUACAUAGCCGACCUGAGAGGGUGGUCGGCCAACCUGGGACUGGGACACGGCCCAGACUCCUACGGGAGGCAGCAGUAGGGAAUCUUCGGCAAUGGACGGAAGUCUGACCGAGCAACGCCGCGUGAGUGAAGAAGGUUUUCGGAUCGUAAAGCUCUGUUGUAAGAGAAGAACGAGUGUGAGAGUGGAAAGUUCACACUGUGACGGUAUCUUACCAGAAAGGGACGGCUAACUACGUG
rnacentral:rRNA from 1 species